GGCCCUUUGCCGCACCAGGGAGUCGGCCGGAUAGGCGGGGGGACACUCAGCGCGCCCCACCCCAAGCAGGGAUUUCGGGGGUCUCUGAGCCCACGCCCUGAAACGCGCUUUAGCGCAGCAAGGAGAGGGGGUGGCUCAUUCCGGCCCCACAAGAGACCCGUUUGGAUCCAGGGCAAACGGAGGAGGUUAGUUCUGGGAACAUUAAGUGGAUCGUUAUGUCCCAACUCUGCUUUUUGGUCUAGAUGGCAUUUGAUUGCGCACUCCAAGGAUGCUGAGCUGCGGUUAACUGCUGCAUAAAGGCCUGAUCCAAGCCCACUGGAGGCCAUGGAAAGGCUCUCGUGACCAUCACUGGACUCUGGAUCAGGCCCUAAAGUUCCCAUUUUAUGCUGCAGUAAUGCGCAGCAGAGGCCAAGGCGUGGCUGCGAAGGCAGAAGUAAAUGAAUGCUUUCAGAAGACAUGCUUGCCCAGCGGAGCCUCACCAGAGCAGAGCACCUGCUGCCCCACAGGGGAGAGGCAGCACUGCUUUAUGUACAGUCUCUCUCUGGGCUGUCCUAUGCUGGUCUGGGGGGGGGGGGAAGGGAGGGGAGAGCUCAUGUGCAAAGGAUUUGGCAGUGACUAUUCAGUAAAAGAUAAAAAUGAAAGAGCUGGGGGGUGGGAGGGGAGGAAGUGACAUAAAAGAGUACUCUGGCCUGAUCCCAGUGUAGAAAUCGGACGUGUUAUCAUGGAGAUCACUUCCGAUCCAUCUCAGAAGCACAG